UGUUUGUGUAUAUGGUACUAUGGUACAAUGUUAAGGUACUGUAUGGACAAAAUGUUUGUGUAUAUGGUACCAUAGUACAAUGUUAAGGUACUGUAUGGACAAAAUGUUUGUGUAUAUGGUACCAUAGUACAAUGUUAAGGUACUGUGUGGAC